rnacentral:lncRNA from 1 species
GAUCGUAGACAGAAAGAUCUUGUCUGUUAUACUCGUAUUUUAUAUGAAUUUCUAAACGGCUCCAUCUUGUUCAGCGGGAAAAUUCUAUUGAAAAAUGAAUUCUUCCACUGAAAAACUUAAAAUUAGAAGUCCAUAACUAUGUACACUAAAUGUCAAAAUAUAUUUUCUUUAUUUCUUUUUAAUUAAAAUUAAAAAUAAAAAUAUUGUAAUGAGUAGCAAGCGUGAAAUGACGUGAAGUGAAAAACGAUCGAAAAAGAAUCACGUCUUUACAUAACCGUUGACCACCGUUCUCCUAGCGGAGGAGAACGACGAGGACGAGAAACAACACCCACUAAUCGACCUCGACGAUUUCGCUGAAGAGUUGCAGGGCCAAAAUUACGAGGUCGACAAGAUCGAUCAGCAUGGCAAGACGAAAGUGCUCAAGAUGAAAUUAGGAAAGACGGAAGCACAGAGUAUAGUAGGAGCGGUGUCGAAACAGCACGAUAAAGUAAAAUCUCGUCUAAAGGGGACUUUGAUUGAAGUGUGAGCGCCUAUGGAAAUUCUUCUAGCAGAAGAGAAAGUGGCUAUUAUCCUGAGAGAUUUGGAAAGGCGGGAAAAAUAGUUAUUCUAGAUGAAUACCGAAUCUGGGAGAAGUUAAUUUCGCUAUCAGCCGCCAAUUAAUACGUCACUUUCUAUUCCGGGAGAAGAUGAGCGGAAGACCUAUCGACGAUUUAUGCUGCCUUGACGUUCCAUACACAUACAUAUGCGCGCGCACGUACGUGAGUACAAAAGAAUGAGGAUUCUGCGAACAUACGAGUCGCUACAAGCGAAAAAACUACGACCAUGCAACAACAAUUUAACAAAAGACUCAAAAUUACUAUUCAUUUGUUUGUUAAAUAUACGAGACGGGGAAUGGUAUGCGUGAGUAAUUAACAAAACAGGUUUGGCUCAACAAGCAAAGACCACGAUUCGCCGUGUUAUUCGGGCGCGAGACGUUUCUCGGAAACAAUCACGAGAUUCACGAUCGGCUCUUCAUCGGCAAAACGGAAGAACCUAGAGCCGAGGAACGUUGCGCGUCUCUUCAUUUCACGUGCCUCUAAUGACUCGUUCAUCUCCACGUUUCUCGAUAAAGCAGCGCUUACGAUAAUGAGACAAUCCAUCACUGUCAUUGUCAUUAUUGUUACUAUUAUUAUUAUUUCCCGCUUCCCCGAUUAAUCCUCCGCGCAAAUCCGCAGAACCGGAAAGUCCUGCCGCAACAGGGAAGCCCGAGAAACACCGAUUCCGCUAAUCUUCGCCGUGCGCGACUCGCGCGUCAGUUUGCCGACGUCGGUAACGGUAGCUCGCGCGAGAGAUAUUC